GAGCUGUGGCGGACGUGGGGCAAUGGCGAUCGCAGGGGAGAACGAUGGAAGCUUGCCUGUGCGGACGCGAGGCUGUGGCAGAUGCGGAGCGCACUAGCGGACGCGGGGACGACGGCGAACUAGAGGGGAUUCGAUUGAUGCGUGCGCGAAGGCGGACAAGCAAGCAGAACAGACGAGAGAACGGAGGCUGGCGUUCUUGCAGAUGAAACGUACACGCUGCCGUUGUAAUAAGCACCGUAUCCCUGGCUGCUGAAUGUUAUGCGGAUCCGCUGAAAAAUUAUAUAUCUGCAGCGUCGACAUUUUGUAAAGAUGUGCUGAUCGCAUAAUCUGACUGGAUAAUUAUUUUAUCCGAUAAGCAGUUCCUGACCAUGAUUUGGUAUUCCAUUUCCUAUAUUCCCUAAUCUCAGCGCAAGGAUGUGUUCCUGCCUGUAUCGGAUACAAUGAUCGGUCCGUUCUCCAGUUAUUUAAUUGACAAGUCCAGCUGGGAUAUCGUUACGAUUGUGUGCGCCUUGAUUGCUUCCUUUGGUUGCCAGUGAAGUUCUUUUGCCACUGCAAUUAAUUUUUAUUAUUU